UUGGUCAAUGGGCGCAAGCCUGAACCAGCCAUCCCGCGUGCAGGAAGACGGCGCUAUGCGUUGUAAACUGCUUUUCCAGGGGGAGAAACUUGCGCACGUGUUGCGCAAUUGACGGUAACCUGGGAAUAAGCAUCGGCUAACUCCGUGCCAGCAGCAGCGGUAAUACGGAGGAUGCGAGCGUUAUCCGGAUUCAUUGGGUUUAAAGGGUGCGUAGGCGGACUAUUAAGUCAGUGGUGAAAUCCUGCAGCUUAACUGCAGAACUGCCAUUGAUACUGAUAGCCUUGAGUAUGGUUACGGUAGACGUAAUGAGUAAUGUAGCAGUUAAAUGCUUAGAUAUUACACAGAACACCAAGUGCGUAGGCAGCUUACUGAGCCGACACUGACGCUGAAGCACGAAAGCGUGGGGAUCGAAC
rnacentral:rRNA from 1 species